rnacentral:rRNA from 1 species
GACGAACGCUGGCGGCGUGGAUUAGGCAUGCAAGUCGAACGGUAUCAUCCUUUCGGGGGUGAGAGAGUGGCGAACUGGUGAGUAACACGUAGGUUAUCUACCCUCAAGACGGGGACAACCCAGGGAAACUUGGGCUAAUACCGGAUGUGAGCAACUUUUAGUUGUUUGAAAGGUGGCGUAAGCUGUCGCUUGGGGAUGAGCCUGCGUCCUAUUAGUUAGUUGGUGAGGUAACGGCUCACCUAGGCAAUGAUAGGUAGGCGGCCUUAACGGGUGGUCGCCCACACUGGGAUUGAGAUACGGCCCAGACUCCUACGGGAGGCAGCAGUCGAGAAUAGUCUACAAUGGUCGGAAGACUGAUAGUGCGACGCCGCGUGAACGAUGAAUCCCUUCGGGGUGUAAAGUUCUUUUAUAUGUGAGCAGUGCUUCUUAUAUUAACAGUAUGGGGAGAGAGAUAUUAGCAUAUGAAUAAGCAACGGCUAACUCCGUGCCAGCAACCGCGGUAAACUAGUCUACG